rnacentral:rRNA from 1 species
GGAGAAAGAUUUAUCGCCGAAGGAGCGGCCCGCGUCCGAUUAGCUAGUUGGUGGGGUAAUGGCCCACCAAGGCUCGAUCGGUAGCUGGUCUGAGAGGAUGACCAGCCACACUGGGACUGAGACACGGCCCAGACUCCUACGGGAGGCAGCAGUGGGGAAUAUUGGACAAUGGGCGCAAGCCUGAUCCAGCCAUGCCGCGUGGGUGAUGAAGGCCCUAGGGUUGUAAAGCCCUUUCGGCGGGGAAGAUAAUGACGGUACCCGCAGAAGAAGCCCCGGCUAACUUCGUGCCAGCAGCCGCGGUAAUACGAAGGGGGCUAGCGUUGCUCGGAAUCACUGGGCGUAAAGCACACGUAGGCGGAUCAUUAAGUCGGAGGUGAAAUCCUGGAGCUCAACUCCAGAACUGCCUUCGAUACUGGAGAUCUUGAGUCCGGGAGAGGUGAGUGGAACUGCGAGUGUA